GAUGAACGCUGGCGGCAUGCCUAAUACAUGCAAGUCGAACGAGAGGAAGGAAAGCUUGCUUUCCUGAAUCUAGUGGCGAACGGGUGAGUAACACGUAGGUAACCUGCCCAUGUGCCCGGGAUAACUUCUGGAAACGGAUGCUAAAACCGGAUAGGUAGCAGACAAGCAUUUGACUGCUAUUAAAGUGGCCUUGGCCAUGAACAUGGAUGGACCUGCGGUGCAUUAGCUGGUUGGUGAGGUAACGGCCCACCAAGGCGACGAUGCAUAGCCGGCCUGAGAGGGCGGACGGCCACAUUGGGACUGAGACACGGCCCAAACUCCUACGGGAGGCAGCAGUAGGGAAUUUUCGUCAAUGGGGGGAACCCUGAACGAGCAAUGCCGCGUGAGUGAGGAAGGUCUUCGGAUCGUAAAGCUCUGUUGUAAGAGAAAAACGGCACUCAUAGGGAAUGAUGAGUGAGUGAUGGUAUCU
rnacentral:rRNA from 1 species